rnacentral:rRNA from 1 species
AUUGAACGCUGGCGGCAUGCCUUACACAUGCAAGUCGAACGGCAGCACGGGUGCUUGCACCUGGUGGCGAGUGGAGAACGGGUGAGUAAUACAUCGGAACGUACCUUAUCGAGGGGGAUAACGCAGCGAAAGCUGUGCUAAUAACGCAUACGCCCUGAGGGGGAAAGCGGGGGAUCGCAAGACCUCGCGCGAUUAGAGCGGCCGAUGCCUGAUUAGCUUGUUGGUGGGGUAAAAGCCCACCAAGGCGACGGUCAGUAGCUGGUCUGAGAGGACGAUCAGCCACACGGGGACUGAACCACGGCCCAGACUCCAACGGGUGGCAGCUGUGGGGAAUUUUGAACAAUGGGGGCAAACCUGAUCCUGCAAUGCCGCAUGAGUGAAGAAGGCCUUCGGGUGGUAAUGCUCUUUUGUCAUGGAAGAAACACCGGCUCUAACACAGUCCGGGAAUGACGGUACCUGAAGAAUAAGCACCGGCUAACUACGUUCCAGCCGCCGCCGUAA